AUUUAUUUCAGAUAUUCAAAUUGAAAAAAUAAGACGCAGACAUUCUUUUAUUCUUUCAAUACAUAAAUUGAAUAUUUUUAAUAAAAUAUUCAUAUUCUUCCUGAACUACAGAUUUCGCUCAAGUGGUACCGUGUAGUAACAAUUCAAUAGAAGCAAAAUGGUGAACAAAAGUUGCAUCGUGGGAUGUCCAUUGGGAUGUCCUUUAUAUGUAUUCCCUCCGUUGGGAGAAAUGACCAGAAACCAAUUUUCCAAUUAACGGACCAGAACGGGUAUCGUUAUAACCAAUUUUUUUACUUUAUUGUUUUUUAACACAUCAUUUUCGAUUUCGCUUUACUAAUGUAAAUACA
rnacentral:lncRNA from 1 species